rnacentral:rRNA from 1 species
UGACUNGAGUGCAGAAGGGGAGAGUGGAAUUCCAUGUGUAGCGGUGAAAUGCGUAGAUAUAUGGAGGAACACCAGUGGCGAAAGCGGCUCUCUGGUCUGUCACUGACGCUGAGGCUCGAAAGCGUGGGUAGCGAACAGGAUUAGAUACCCUGGUAGUCCACGCCGUAAACGAUGAGUGCUAGGUGUUAGGCCCUUUCCGGGGCUUAGUGCCGGAGCUAACGCAAUAAGCACUCCGCCUGGGGAGUACGACCGCAAGGUUGAAACUCAAAGGAAUUGACGGGGGCCCGCACAAGCGGUGGAGCAUGUGGUUUAAUUCGAAGCAACGCGAAGAACCUUACCAGGUCUUGACAUCCCGAUGCUAUUCUUAGAGAUAGGAAGUUACUUCGGUACAUCGGAGACAGGUGGUGCAUGGUUGUCGUCAGCUCGUGUCGUGAGAUGUUGGGUUAAGUCCCGCAACGAGCGCAACCCUUAUUGUUAGUUGCCAUCAUUAAGUUGGGCACUCUAGCGAGACUGCCGGUAAUAAACCGGAGGAAGGUGGGGAUGACGUCAAAUCAUCAUGCCCCUUAUGACCUGGGCUACACACGUGCUACAAUGGUCGGUACAACGAGUUGCGAGCCGGUGACGGCAAGCUAAUCUCUGAAAGCCGAUCUCAGUUCGGAUUGGAGGCUGCAACUCGCCUCCAUGAAGUCGGAAUCGCUAGUAAUCGCGGAUCAGCACGCCGCGGUGAAUACGUUCCCGGGCCUUGUACACACCGCCCGUCACACCACGAGAGUUUGUAACACCCGAAGUCGGUGAGGUANCCUUUUAGGG